AUGAAUGGCUGGAAUGAAAUGAUGCUUUUUGAGCUCCCAAGAGGAUGUAAAGGGCACAAGGUCACCUUUAUUGAACUGUUUUCCUGUUGGCCAUCCCUUCUGGGCCCCAAGUUCUGCAUUUGCAGCAUCUGGCACAGUGCUGGGCACAUCCUGAGCUUGAGAAAAGGAACCUGGGCAGGAGGAGAUAAGCCAAUAUAUCUGCCUGUUGAGCCUACAGUUAAAAAUAAUUAUAGAGAACAUGGUGAUGCUUCAGAAACUGUCAGGAUCUUUACUCUUUGUCCAGGAAGCCCUGAACUGUCAUUGGAAAUAAGAUGCCAGAACCACAGAUGUCCUUAG
rnacentral:lncRNA from 1 species